AGUGAACGCUGGCGGUAGGCCUAACACAUGCAAGUCGAACGGCAGCACAGGAGAGCUUGCUCUCUGGGUGGCGAGUGGCGGACGGGUGAGGAAUACAUCGGAAUCUACUCUGUCGUGGGGGAUAACGUAGGGAAACUUACGCUAAUACCGCAUACGACCUACGGGUGAAAGCAGGGGACCUUCGGGCCUUGCGCGAUUGAAUGAGCCGAUGUCGGAUUAGCUAGUUGGCGGGGUAAAGGCCCACCAAGGCGACGAUCCGUAGCUGGUCUGAGAGGAGGAUCAGCCACACUGGAACUGAGACACGGUCCAGACUCCUACGGGAGGCAGCAGGGGGGAAUAUUGGACAAUGGGCGCAAGCCUGAUCCAGCCAUACCGCGUGGGUGAAGAAGGCCUUCGGGUUGUAAAGCCCUUUUGUUGGGAAAGAAAGCCAGCUGGCUAAUACCCGGUUGGGAUGACGGUACCCAAAGAAUAAGCACCGGCUAACUUCGUGCCAGCAGCCGCCGUAA
rnacentral:rRNA from 1 species